UACGGGGGGGAGCAAGCGUUGUUCGGAUUUACUGGGCGUAAAGGGCGCGUAGGCGGUCAGCACAAGUCAGUUGUGAAAUCUCCGGGCUUUAACUCAGAAAGGUCAACUGAUACUGUGCGACUAGAGUGGCAGAAGGGGGCAACUGGAAUUCUCGGUGUAGCGGUGAAAUGCGUAGAUAUCGAGAGGGAACACCUGGCGGCGAAGGCGGGUUGCUGGGCUGACACUGACGGCUGAUGCGCGAAAGCCAGGGGAGCGAACGGG
rnacentral:rRNA from 1 species